UCUGUGCCCGGUGUUGUGCAGCAGUCCCUGUGUGUGAAGGCGUCUCAGAUUCUCCCCCAGCGUCCGGUGCAGCAGGCGAAGAGUCGUCCGACAACUCCAUAACAGCCUUUUCUCCCAUCACUCUCCUCUCCCUCAUCCCCUCACUCCUGUCCCCCUCCUCCUCUCCCUCGCCACUCACUCCUAUUCCUCUCCUCCUCUCCCUCACUCCUAUCCCCCUCCUCCUCUCCCUCAUCCCUCACUCCCAUCUCCCUCCUCCUCCUCUCCCUCAUCCCUCCCUCCUAUCUUCUCCCUCCUCCUCUCCCUCACUCCUAUCCCCCUCCUCCUCUCCCUGGCCCCUCACUCCGGGGCUGGAACAGCAGGGGCCUCAUGCCCACGAAGGUGAAGUUGUAGGUGUCGGGGAGCCCCCGGUGCGCCGUGCCGUUGAAGUGGCUCCAGGAGAAGGCCGGCAGCCCCCCCUGCACUGUGGGCCCACUGAUGGCCUCCGCCGCCAGCUGCUGGGCCAGAGCGUAAUCAGUCACCUGCAGGAGAGGAGAGGAGCGGGGUCACACCCUGGGUCCCCAGUCCUGCUGCUCUGGGGAGGGGGGUCAGUGUGUCUAGAGCAGGGGUCCCCACUCUCUGGGGAGGGGGGGUCAGUGCGUCUAGAGCAGGGGUCUCCAGCCUCUGUGUCUCUGUGGAGGGGGGGUCAGUGUGUCUAGAGCAGGGGUCCCCACUCUCUGGGAGGGCAGGGCCCAGUCAGUUCAGGACAGUCGACUUCAGUGUUUGUGACGAUUGAGGGUUCACAGUCUCCCCCAAGGCUGUGACCAUGCCCGCCCAGCAGGGGGCCGCGCUGGGAGAGAGGGGGCGGCCGUGUGCAGGGAUCUGGCCGUACCUUGGUGUCGUAGCAGCCUUCGGGAGAGGGGUGCUCCGACUGCAGGUCGUUCCGGCAGCAGAUGGCCAGACAGGGGUUCUCCUCGGAGUAGGGGUCCCGCUUGUAAUCUGACCACAGGAGGGGUGGACAUAAUUAACCAAUCGGAGGGCAGCAACUUCCUGGCAUGGAUUCGACAUGAAUCCAGGAACUAUCCCAUGGAACCUAGACAUCCCUCUCCCUCAAACCUCCGGAGGAGUGCUUGCUCGUGACCGCAUCUCCGUUUCUGGAUUUAAUGAGCUGUUCCGAUCGCUGUCUGAGCUUGUUGCGCAGAGGACAGGGAAACAUGAGACAUUGUGCACACACCUGCAGAACCACACCUGCGCAGAGGAGGGGAGCUCGGGAACAGUGCAUUCCCAACAGCUGACCGUUUUGGGGAACCCCCCCCCCCCCGGAGACUCCGGUUAGCUAUCUAAGGCCAGGCUGGGACGUCCUGACCGAAGGGGUUCCUGCGAGACUCCGGCGAUGUGCAGCAGGCAGGUCGGCCACGUCAGUCGGGAUGCUGGAUUGGAACAAACCUCCGGAUUC
rnacentral:lncRNA from 1 species